ACGGGAGGCAGCAGUGAGGAAUAUUGGUCAAUGGACGGAAGUCUGAACCAGCCAAGUCGCGUGCGGGAGGAAGGCCCUACGGGUCGUAAACCGCUUUUGUACGGGGAUAAAGUCACCCACGUGUGGGUGUUUGUAGGUACCGUAAGAAUAAGGAUCGGCUAACUCCGUGCCAGCAGCCGCGGUAAUACGGAGGAUCCGAGCGUUAUCCGGAUUUAUUGGGUUUAAAGGGUGCGCAGGCGGGCUGCUAAGUCUCCGGUGAAAUGUCAGGGCUCAACCUUGGCACUGCCGGAGAUACUGGCGGCCUUGAGAGUGGCGGAGGUAUCCGGAAUGUGUGGUGUAGCGGUGAAAUGCAUAGAUAUCACGAAGAACUCCGAUUGCGAAGGCAGCCAUCUGGCGUGUUACUGACGCUCAUGCUCGAAGGCGCGGGUAUCAAACAGGAUUAGAUACCCUGGUA
rnacentral:rRNA from 1 species